AUUGAACGCUGGCGGCAUGCUUUACACAUGCAAGUCGAACGGUAACAGGCCGCAAGGUGCUGACGAGUGGCGAACGGGUGAGUAAUGCAUCGGAACGUGCACAGUCCUGGGCGAUCACUACUCGAAAGAGCCGCUACUACCACCUACGAACUCUGCAUCACAGCGGGGGGCCGUAAGGCCUCGCGCGAUUGGCGCGGCCGAUGUCAGCGUCGGUAGUUGGUGGGGUAAAGGCUCACCAGGCCAACGAGCUGUAGCUGGUCUGAGAGGAUGAGCAGCCACACUGGGACUGAGACACGGCGCAGAGGCCUAGGGGAGGCAGCGGGGGGGAAGUUUGGACAAUGGGCGAAAGGGUGAUCCAGUAAUGCCGCGUGGAGGAAGAAGGCACGCGGGUUGUAAACUGGUUUUGCACGGAAGGAAGAGGCUCUGGUUAAUACCCGGGGGUAAUGACGGUACCGGAAGAAUAAGCACCGGCUAACUACGUG
rnacentral:rRNA from 1 species